rnacentral:rRNA from 1 species
GACGAACGCUGGCGGCGUGCUUAACACAUGCAAGUCGAACGAAGAGCGACGGAAGCUUGCUUCUAUCAAUCUUAGCGGCGAACGGGUGAGUAACGCGUAAUCAACCUGCCCUUCAGAGGGGGACAACAGUUGGAAACGACUGCUAAUACCGCAUACGAUCUAAUCUCGGCAUCGAGGAUGGAUGAAAGGUGGCCUCUACAUGUAAGCUAUCACUGAAGGAGGGGAUUGCGUCUGAUUAGCUAGUUGGAGGGGUAACGGCCCACCAAGGCGAUGAUCAGUAGCCGGUCUGAGAGGAUGAACGGCCACAUUGGGACUGAGACACGGCCCAGACUCCUACGGGAGGCAGCAGUGGGGAAUCUUCCGCAAUGGACGAAAGUCUGACGGAGCAACGCCGCGUGAGUGAUGACGGCCUUCGGGUUGUAAAGCUCUGUUAAUCGGGACGAAAGGCCUUCUUGCGAAUAGUGAGAAGGAUUGACGGUACCGGAAGAGAAAGCCACGGCUAACUACGUG